rnacentral:rRNA from 1 species
CUACGCUAUGAGCGGUAACUGGGAUGAAGUCGUAACAAGGUAGCCGUAGGGGAACCUGCGGCUGGAUCACCUCCUUUCUAAGGAGAAAG